rnacentral:rRNA from 1 species
AGUUACCUUCAUUGCGACUUCACUUUGAUCAUGAAUCCUGCCAAUGGUAUUCGCCACUCAUACAGGUUUGUUCAACAACUUCUGGUAAAACCCUCCAUGGUGUGACGGGCGAUUGUCUUCAGGCCAGAGGAACGUAUUCUGCGACCAUGCUGAAUCCGCGUUACUAGCGAUUCCGACUUCACGCGGUCGAGUUGCAGACUGCGAUCCGGACUACGAUCCGGGUUUCUGGGAUUGGCUCCCCUCGCGGGUUGGCGACCCUCUGUCCCGACCAUUGUAUGACGUCAUGACCCUACCCAUAAGGGCCAUGAGGACUUGACAUUCAUCCCACUUCUCGGUUUGUCGCGUGAUCUCGAUGAAGUGCCUUUCGUAGCAACUAAUGACAAGGGUUGCGCUCGUUUUGCGGACACCAACAGCAUCUCGACACGAGCGGCAACACAGCCAUGCAGCACCUGUGUUCCGGGUUCUCUUGCGACUUUCCCCGACAAUGCUGGAUUCCAGACAUGUCAGGGUGAUGGGUUUUCGCGUUGCAUCAGAAUUAAUCACAUCAUCCACCGCCUUGGUCCCCGUCCAUUCGCGGUUUAAUCUUACGACGUACUGGGCGGUCAACUUGCUGGUGCUUUGCGCGCAAGGCCCGAAGGCCCGGCAGCUAGUUGACAUCGUUCAGGCGUGAACUACCAGGGUAUCUAAUCCUGUUUGCUCCACGCUUUUCGUGCAUGAGCGUAGUGUUAUCCCAGGAGGCUGCCUUCGCCAAAAUGGUGUUACCUCCGCAUAUUCUACGCAUUUCACUGCUACCAUGAUUCACCUCCUCCCGACUGCACUCAGCUCGGUAGUUAAAAUGCAGUUCCAAAGUUAAGCUCUGGGAUUUCACAUCUUUCUUUCCGAGCAACCUGCUGCUUCAUAGUGAUUCGAUUAACGCUUGCACCCUACGUGUGCCGCGCUGCUGGCGUAGUUAGCGGUGCUUAUUCUGGUACCAUCAGUUGCACGGGUAUUAUCACGAUACCGAUUUCUUUCCUGCCAAAGUGCUUUUUAGCCGAAAGGCCUUAUCUUUGCACCGGAUGGCUGGAUCAGGAGUUCCCCAUUAUCCAAAAUUUCUGCCUGCCGUAGGAGUCUGGGGCCGUGUCUGGUCCAGAUGGCGGCUGGUCGUCCUCUCAAACCAGCUACGGAUCGUCGCGCCGAUGAGCCGUUACCCGCCAUUCAUAUUCGAUAUGGUAGCUGUGGUGCAGGCCCGAAGGUUCCCCCUUUCCCGGAAGAAUAUCGUGCUGGGCGUCGCUGCUGCCUCGCGAGGUAUCCGCUAUGACACGUUCCGAUACAUUACUGCGUUCUUACUCGCCGCAGACCGAAGUCUCCGUGCGGUCAUUACGCAUGUAAAGGCAUCCAUGGCGUUGAUCUGGACCAGUCGGAACC